UGAACCUGCGGAAGGAUCAUUACCGUU
rnacentral:rRNA from 17 species